CUUCAAUAACCUAGAGCCACUUCAUGGACGCCAGUCAGUCUCCCCAGUAGGUUCAAACGCUGACACGUUAUGACAACUGAGGAACAGUGAAGACAGCUGGAGAUGCAACAAAUUUAUGGACUGUGGAAGUAUGAUGGAAGGAUGAGGAGACAGACUAGAGAAAGACAACCAUCCAUCCAUCCAUUAUCUGAACCACUUAUCCUCACAAGGGUUGCAGGAGUGCUGAAGCCUAUCCCAGGUAUGUUCGGUCAGGAGGCGGGGUACAUUCUGGACUGAUUGCCAGGCAA